rnacentral:rRNA from 1 species
AGUGAACGCUGGCGGUAGGCCUAACACAUGCAAGUCGAACGGCAGCACAGUAAGAGCUUGCUCUUACGGGUGGCGAGUGGCGGACGGGUGAGGAAUACAUCGGAAUCUACUUUUUCGUGGGGGAUAACGUAGGGAAACUUACGCUAAUACCGCAUACGACCUACGGGUGAAAGCAGGGGAUCUUCGGACCUUGCGCGAUUGAAUGCGCCGAUGUCGGAUUAGCUAGUUGGCGGGGUAAAGGCCCACCAAGGCGACGAUCCGUAGCUGGUCUGAGAGGAUGGUCAGCCACACUGGAACUGAGACACGGUCCAGACUCCUACGGGAGGCAGCAGUGGGGAAUAUUGGACAAUGGGCGGAAGCCUGAUCCAGCCAUACCGCGUGGGUGAAGAAGGCCUUCGGGUUGUAAAGCCCUUUUGUUGGGAAAGAAAAGCAGCAGGUUAAGACCCCGCUGUUCUGACGGUACCCAAAGAAUAAGCACCGGCUAACUUCGU